CUUCUCACUUUUUCUCCACUAGGUGCAGUUUCAGGAUGUUACCAUGUUGCUGAAGGUGAAAUACCGUAGUGUCAAGAAGUACAUCAAAUUGCACUCAGGCUUCACCUAUUCAGAAUUCACCAGGGAAGUCAAAAACAAGUUUGAGCUUCCUGAUGAGGCUCAACUUGACAUUUUUGAUGAAACUGACACAGCAGUAGAGGAAGACAUUCUUCUAGAGCUGUUGGAGGCCGAUUCAGACAUGUGCCUGACAGUACGUCAGUACAGCAUUUCAGAUGAAGGUAGGUGUCAUUAAGAAAACCUGUGUUUAUGGAUGGGGCUCUUUGAUGCAGCUGACAUUGACCUUUCUUUAUGGAACGAACAAGGCAGUGGGCAAUGAUGGAACAAGUUUGUUACUGAUUACUAAAAAUAUCAUCCAAAUACUUUAGGGUAACUUAAAAUGUUUAUACUAAAAUUGGUAAAGCCACAAAAAGUUAAGUUAAUCAAAUUCUCUCUUUUUAAAGAAUUUUCUCCUUUACCACCAUCUUCAACACCAUCUUCCCUCACGGAUACCACAUCCCUUUCUUCAAGUGACAGUGACCUUAGAGAACUGAGUAUUCCCACAACAAGCAGAAAUGUAUCCAGCAAAGAACACAUGAGCAGUUCUGCAACAAAGGCUUCCGUGUCAGAGGCGGCAAAGGAGAUGGUAGAAAAGGCCUUGCUUAAGAAGCCUGGAGGAGAGGAUAUUCUUGAAGAGUACAAGUCAGAAAAUUCACUAAUGCACCGCACUCGGAGACAGCUUGUCAACCUAUUGGCGAGUGAUAUGACUGAGAGACAUGGCAGGUUUCCUUCCCGUCAGCAGAAG